rnacentral:rRNA from 1 species
UACAGAGGUCUCGAGCGUUGUUCGGAUUCAUUGGGCGUAAAGGGUGCGUAGGUGGCGCUGUAAGUCAGGUGUGAAAUUUCGGAGCUUAACUCCGAAACUGCAUUUGAUACUGCGGUGCUUGAGGACUGGAGAGGAGACUGGAAUUUACGGUGUAGCAGUGAAAUGCGUAGAGAUCGUAAGGAAGACCAGUGGCGAAGGCGGGUCUCUGGA